AGCGAACGCUGGCGGCAGGCCUAAAACAUGCAAGUCGAACGCCGUAGCAAUACGGAGUGGCAGACGGGUGAGUAACACGUGGGAACGUGCCCUUUGGUUCGGAACAACACAGGGAAACUUGUGCUAAUACCGGAUAAGCCCUUACGGGGAAAGAUUUAUCGCCAAAGGAUCGGCCCGCGUCUGAUUAGCUAGUUGGUGGGUAACGGCCCACCAAGGCUACGAUCAGUAGCUGGUCUGAGAGGAUGAUCAGCCACACUGGGACUGAGACACGGCCCAGACUCCUACGGGAGGCAGCAGUUAGGAAUCUUGGACAAUGGGCGCAAGCCUGAUCCAGCCAUGCCGCGUGAGUGAUGAAGGCCUUAGGGUUGUAAAGCUCUUUCAGCGGGGAAGAUAAUGACGGUACCCGCAGAAGAAGCCCCGGCUAACUUCGUGUCAGCCGCCGCCGUAAG
rnacentral:rRNA from 1 species